rnacentral:rRNA from 1 species
UACGGAGGAUGCGAGCGUUAUCCGGAUUUAUUGGGUUUAAAGGGUGCGUAGGCGGAUUUUUAAGUCGGCGGUAAAAUGUCCGGGCUCAACCCGGGCCGGCCGUUGAAACUGGGGAUCUUGAGUGGGCGAGAAGUAUGCGGAAUGCGAGGUGUAGCGGUGAAAUGCAUAGAUAUCACGCAGAACUCCGAUUGCGAAGGCAGCAUACCGGCGCCCGACUGACGCUGAGGCACGAAAGCGUGGGGAUCGAACAGG